GCCCCAGUCCACUAUGAAUUGAUUAGUUAAAGAGUUCUGACAUAUUGACAUGUACAUAGCUGAAGGGUUAAAGCUAACCAUCAGUAAUAAUACUAUCCAACAUACAAAGAAUUACCCAGAGGGAAUAAUAAGAAACUACACAAAUACAAAAGAACCCGUUACAACUUCUUAUGCAUCCUACAUUCAGGGGAGUUGUGUCGCAAAGGUGAUAGUGGUCGUCUCACUGAAUCUAUAUCUUUUAAGUCAAUCUUCAUCUUGACUGGGCUACUCAUCUUUGGACUUGAUUUUCGCUUGUUCCUCUUGGCAGAUGCGCUGCUGGUAUGUUUUCCACCAGAACCAUCAAGGUUAUGUUCUUGGUGAUGCUUCAAUAAUUUUUUGUUCUCCUCAUCCAAUAUGUUGUUUUCUUGAGACAGUAAGUGGACCUCCUCUUCAGCUCUAGUAAGAUUGAUCCUGAGAUGCUCCUUAUCUUUUUGAAGAUUCUUCACUUUAGCAGCCAGAGAUAAAACUUUCUGAGUUGAUGGUCUCAAGCUGUUCCACAUUUUCAGCAACUUUUGACAUGACUCAUACCCACUGUUGGCCUCCAAAAAAGCAUGACCAAAUUCAACUUCAUCUUUACUGACCAAUGUAGCUAAAAUGGACUCAAGUAAAUGCUGUUCUGUAUCAGUACUCUUAGCCGGUGAAGCAACCCCAUGAUUCGCAUACUCAUGCUUGUAGAACUGCAAUUCCUCGGAUAACUUCCCUA
rnacentral:misc_RNA from 1 species